rnacentral:rRNA from 1 species
AUUGAACGCUGGCGGCAGGCCUAACACAUGCAAGUCGAGCGGAUGAAGGGAGCUUGCUCCUGGAUUCAGCGGCGGACGGGUGAGUAAUGCCUAGGAAUCUGCCUGGUAGUGGGGGAUAACGUCCGGAAACGGGCGCUAAUACCGCAUACGUCCUGAGGGAGAAAGUGGGGGAUCUUCGGACCUCACGCUAUCAGAUGAGCCUAGGUCGGAUUAGCUAGUUGGUGGGGUAAAGGCCUACCAAGGCGACGAUCCGUAACUGGUCUGAGAGGAUGAUCAGUCACAGUGGAACUGAGACACGGUCCAGACUCCUACGGGAGGCAGCAGUGGGGAAUAUUGGACAAUGGGCGAAAGCCUGAUCCAGCCAUGCCGCGUGUGUGAAGAAGGUCUUCGGAUUGUAAAGCACUUUAAGUUGGGAGGAAGGGCAGUAAGUUAAUACCUUGCUGUUUUGACGUUACCAACAGAAUAAGCACCGGCUAACUUCGUG